GGCCUAACACAUGCAAGUCGAGCGGUAAGAGGAGCUUGCUCCUCUUGAGAGCGGCGGACGGGUGAGUAAUGCCUAGGAAUCUGCCUGGUAGUGGGGGAUAACGUUCGGAAACGGACGCUAAUACCGCAUACGUCCUACGGGAGAAAGCAGGGGACCUUCGGGCCUUGCGCUAUCAGAUGAGCCUAGGUCGGAUUAGCUAGUUGGUGAGGUAAUGGCUCACCAAGGCGACGAUCCGUAACUGGUCUGAGAGGAUGAUCAGUCACACUGGAACUGAGACACGGUCCAGACUCCUACGGGAGGCAGCAGUGGGGAAUAUUGGACAAUGGGCGAAAGCCUGAUCCAGCCAUGCCGCGUGUGUGAAGAAGGUCUUCGGAUUGUAAAGCACUUUAAGUUGGGAGGAAGGGCAGUAAAUUAAUACUUUGCUGUUUUGACGUUACCGACAGAAUAAGC
rnacentral:rRNA from 1 species